CUAUACUGAGCCGCACAGCUAGUCUCCUAGGCUUAGCCUUCCAUGAAUGCCAGCUUGGUUCCUUGGGUCUCAUUCAAAGGGGAAGAACAAGACAAUUUUGUGGUCCAUGGAGACUCCUUAUAUUAAAAAUAUAGAAAUCAAACAAGAUCCAGAACUUUAAAAAGCAUCUAAACAACAACAAAAGAAGAAGAAGAGGAAGAAGAAGAAGAAGAAGAAGAGAGAAAGAAAAAAAGAAAGAAAGAGAAAGAGAAAAGGUAAGAAACUUACCUUCAUCACACCCUUCAGCCAUGAUGUUCAGCCUUGCCGCAGGCCCAGAGUAACAGAGCCUUCCCACCAUGGGCUGAAUCCUCUGCAACUGCCUAUUUCUGGAAGAUAUAUCUACUAUGAAAUAAAUGAAGAAAUUUUAAGCUGAUUGGAAAAGAAUAGAACAUUCUUCCUUUAUCAUCAGCUAAACUCAUGUGCCUCAAAGCAUCUCAGAAGAGCCAUAGAAUUGGAGAAGAGAUGUUGCUGCUAGAAUGGAAAUGAAUACCCUACAUUUCUGGGCAUUCUGAUGACUGCUACAUACCAGAGCUCCAGAUGACAGUAGAUGGUGAUGAUUUUCCAGGGAGGUUUCUGCAGGAUGCCAUGGAGGCUCUCAGGCUGUGUUAUCAGAGUAGUCAAGGUUGGCUCAGAAAGUGCAGUUACCAGUCCAGGCAGAUCUGUUGUGUGGCUGUCAUCACCAUAGAGAGACAUUAGAAGAUUAGUGUUGAAAAGAAAGAACAUGAGAAAAGCAUGUACUCCUAAUUGAAUUGAGGUAUGUCAAAGUCAUCUUCUUUCAUUGGGAAAUUUUUCGUACUAGUUCACAACUUUCACCACCAGUAAGCAAGUCUUUGAGAAAGCAAUAACCUGAGGUAUGAUUCUUUUGCUCUCUACUAAAUCAAGGAAUGGAAUGCCCACCAAAGAUGGUAUGUGAUUUUUUUAAGGACUUGUUUUUAAAUUAAUGAAUGUCAUGAAGAGAAUGCACCACCUUGAGUGAGGGGUCCUGUACUAGUACUCCCAUUACUUGUGCAACUGUGUGGCAGAAUUUGAGAAAUGAAACCUGAAUGCUGCGAUUGCCUUGCUGUGGACAAGAUCACAUCCUGUGAGUGGCUGUGGGGAUGCCUUCUGGAGGAUAGAGGGUUUCCCUCUGCAAAUUUCCAUUCCAUCUAUAUGACCCUAUCUUCAAAAAAGGACUAUUUCCUUUUCUCAGAAAUGAGGUGAGAUUGGAGUCCUCAAUUCUGGCUAAAGAAGAGCAAAGUAAGUCUUCCUAUUUGCAGAAGUUAGGAUGUAGGGAGUUAAGGAAUGAGAGAGCCUUUGGGAAAACCCUAUGGAAAACUGUAGAUGGGGCUUCUAGGAAAUAUCCUGUCUCGAAGCUAGUAGUAAAUUUUCUCUUUUUUGCAUUGCAGUUGCCUUCUCUUAUUCCCAGUAUUUCUUUAAUCCUUGUUAGUCAUUGCUGCAUAGUUUUAGUUGGUACUUAGAGGAACUACCAUGUCCAUAUGGGAGAGUUCAUUGUCCAUGCUUAGGGAGGAAACAAGUUAUUAGAUGGCAAAAGAUGAAAAUAGAAAAUAUAAAAGAAGUUUCAGAUUAGAGAAAGCAAGCUGGCUGAAGGGUUCAGAGGUGACCCAGUCGUUUAAUAGAACAUAAAAGCAUUCAUUCCUAAGGGAGUUUUCAAAAGUUCCCUCAGCAUGGUGGGAGAGUAAAGAAGAAUUUGGUCAAACCAAUUUUCCAUACCAUACAGAAUGGGGCUCCAGAUCACUGUUGUGUUGUCUGUGUUUAUUAUUAUCAUCGUUUGAACUGAAAGAAAAAGUUACCCAGAAAGCUGGAGAACUAGUUGACAUUGUAGUUAAAUUAGUUUUCUAGUGCUGCCAUAACAAAUACCACAGUGUGUUUGGCUUAAACAACAUACAUUUAUUUUCUCACAGUUCUGGAGGAUGGAAGUCCAAUCAAGGUGUAGGCAGUUUUGGCUUCUUGUGGGGCCUCUUUUUGGCUUGUAGAUAGUUGCCUUCUUCUUCUUUUUUAAUAUUCAUUUUUUUUUAGUUGUAGUUAGACACAAUACCUCUAUUUAUCUAUCUAUCUAUCUACCUAUUUAUUUAUUUAUUUUUAUGUGGUGCUGAGGAUCGAACCCAGGGCCUCUCCUGUGCUAGGCAAGCGCUCUACCACUGAGCCACAACCCCAGCCCCAGAUAGUUGCCUUCCUUCCAUGUCCUCAGAUGGCCUUUCCUUUGUGUAAGUGCAUUUCUGGUACCUCUUCCGUUCUUUUACAAACAAUUCUCACAAAAGAUAAAAGAAGGAAGAAAAGAAGGAAGGAAGGGAGGGAGGGAAGGAGGAAGGGAGGAAAGGAAGGAAAUUGCUGAGAAAUAGACAAAAGGACACAAAAUCUAUAAAAGACCCCAACUCCAGAAAAGCCACACUGUUCUCCUGGGAGACAGACCACGCAAUGCCUAUCCUGUACGUUAUCUUCAUUUCUCACUUUUCCAAUAAGCUCAAUGCAAUUCAUUUGAAAUUUUCCCUGUGAGAUUGCAAGAACCAGUGACUGCAGAUUCCCAUGGUUACUUAGUCUCCCCGGGCCUCCUCUGCAUCAACAUCAAUGUCAGGAUAACAGCCUCUUUCUUUAUUCUGAUCCUUUCUCUUGUCCUCUGCAAAGCAUGGCAUCAUUUUUAACUGAUUGCCUUUUUGGAACCUCAGGCUAUCUCUGGAGGCUAACUUAUAUAUUCAUGGAGAGACCUCCAUUAGGGUUUCGUGGUAUGGUAUGAUGGGGAGGACUGCAGGGCUAAAAUCAUGAAAGGAAGGAAGCCUCCAGUCUUUAGGCCCAGCACACAAGAGCAUGGUUAAGAGAAGGCAAGUUGUGCUGCAGGCAAAUCUGCUUUCUGCACUCAACUUCCCAACCACCUCUGGGCAUCGGAUACUUCAUUCAAAUGCACUUGAGGCAAAGCACUCAAACACUCACUGAGUAUUUCCCUGGCAGAUUUCCAGUACUUCAUUCUUCUUGUUAAUGGUGACAGAGAAAAUUACACAAAGCAUUCAGGAUGUUGAUAUGCCACUUGCCUCACAGUUUACUUCAAAGCUUCUUCAGAGUUUUCUGAAUUUUACUUUCUGGAACAAAGAAUAUUAUUGGCAUAAGCAUCAAGUAUGCCAGUGAAGUUAGUCCUAGUGUUUUUGGUAAGCGAGUUCUGAAUUUUUAGGUCAGAAGCAAUCUGUCUUUUAGCAAUUAAAAGCCAAUGGCCAUGUAGUAACAAGUUUAGUCAAGUUUUGUUGGCACAGACUUAUUUCUCCAACUUACAGAUUCUCCAAUAGAAACAGCAAUAAAGUUUUUUUUUUAUUUGUUCUAAUUAGUUAUAUAUGACAGUAGAAUGCACUUUGACACAUCAUACAUAAAUGGAUUGUAAUUUCUCAUUCUUCUGGUUGUACAUGAUGUAGAAUCACACCAGUAGUGUAGUCAUGUAUGUACAUAGAGUAAUAAAUGUCAGGUUCAUUCUACUAUCCCUCCUACCUUCUUACCCCUCCACUCCCUUCACUCCCUCUACCUAAUUCAAAGUACCUCUAUUCUUCCCAAGUGCUGCCCACCUGUCAUGCUUGGCUAAAUUGUGAAUUAGUAUCCACAUGUCAGAGAAAACAUUUGGCCUUUAGGUUUGGGGGAUUGGCUUAUUUUAGCAUGAUAUUCUCCAGAUCUGUCCAUUUACUGCAAAUACCAUAAUUUCAUUCUUCUUUAAGUCUGAGUAGUAUUCCAUUGUGUAUAUAUAUCACAGUUUCUUUAUCCAUUCAUCUGUUGAAGGGCACUUAGAUUGGUUCCAUAAUUCAGCUAUUGUGAGUGGAGCUGCUUUAAACAUUGAUGUGGCUGUGUCACAGUAGUGUGCUGAUUUUAAGUCCUUGGGUAUAAACCAAGGAGUGAGAUAACUGGGUGUUAGGAUGACCUUAGGCCUGAGCCUAAGCAACUCCAUUUUAAAAACUCCAGUUUGAAACCUGCAGUUUCACCAGUUACCACCCACAGAUCCCUCCAGUAUAGCCACAAACAAGUGGCUUCCCCUCACCCUGAUAAACAGAGUGAAGCCCUUGACAGGCUGACAUCUCUUGAUAAGAGGGAAAGGCGAGAAGAUCAGGGUGGAGACCACCAGACCAGAUGUUUCUGACCCCAGAGUAAAUGAUGUCACUGAGAAAUCUGGUGGUAGCUGAUAAGGAUUGAAAGGGGGAUCAAAACCCCCCAAAUUUAGUAUAAAUGAUAGAGCAAAUGAACAGGGAUUCAGCCAGCCAAAACAUGGAUGCACUCGAGCUGGAGAACCUGAUAAAGACCUGAUAUCCCAUCACUUGUCAUCAUUUCCUGAGCCCCUGCAUGAUCCUCACCAUUCUCAAACUCUACCAACUCAUCUGGACCUUGGUGAGAGACACAACUUCUCCCUAUGACCCUCUCCUCAACCGGUCAUCCACUCCACACCAGGAAAAGCCUGCCUUGGUUCCAGACCUGGUCACUGCAGUCUGAGUGAGAGUGCAUCUUCUGGACUUAAAGCCUAAGGCUUAAGACUUUUGAACUUAACAUGCAGAGGAAAUGUCUGUCAUUAGCUUAUCAUGAUUAAGUGUGUUUUGCAGGGCUAAGAAUUAAUCUAGAAUUGUUUGCUGUGAAUUAAUUAUGUCUAUUGCAGUGCUUGGCAUUAAGGAUUGUCGUUUUCAUGAUUAAGAACCUAUAGAGUGAAAUUGUAUUGAGUAAUUUGAGUGAAUAAAGCAUUGAAAGGGGCAGAA